rnacentral:rRNA from 1 species
AUUGAACGCUGGCGGCAGGCUUAACACAUGCAAGUCGAGCGGAGUGAUGGUGCUUGCACUAUCACUUAGCGGCGGACGGGUGAGUAAUGCUUAGGAAUCUGCCUAUUAGUGGGGGACAACAUCUCGAAAGGGAUGCUAAUACCGCAUACGUCCGACGGGAGAAAGCAGGGGAUCACUUGUGACCUUGCGCUAAUAGAUGAGCCUAAGUCGGAUUAGCUAGUUGGUGGGGUAAGGGCCUACCAAGGCGACGAUCUGCAGCGGGUCUGAGAGGAUGAUCCGCCACACUGGGACUGAGACACGGCCCAGACUCCUACGGGAGGCAGCAGUGGGGAAUAUUGGACAAUGGGGGGAACCCUGAUCCAGCCAUGCCGCGUGUGUGAAGAAGGCCUUAUGGUUGUAAAGCACUUUAAGCGAGGAGGAGGCUCUUUUGGUUAAUACCCAAGAUGAGUGGACGUUACUCGCAGAAUAAGCACCGGCUAACUCUGUGCCAGCCGCCGCGGUAA